AAAAUCGAAUUUGUACGGUGUGUUGAGUUUUUAGGUAUGGAAAGUGGUGUGUCACCACGCAUAUAUAAUAUAUUCCA